CCUACGGGGUGCUGCAGUGGGGAAUAUUGGACAAUGGGCGAAAGCCUGAUCCAGCCAUGCCGCGUGUGUGAAGAAGGCCUUCGGGUUGUAAAGCACUUUCAGUGGGGAAGAAAGCCUUGGGGCUAAUACCCUCGAGGAAGGACAUCACCCACAGAAGAAGCACCGGCUAACUCCGUGCCAGCAGCCGCGGUAAUACGGAGGGUGCGAGCGUUAAUCGGAAUUACUGGGCGUAAAGCGCGCGUAGGCGGUCUGAUAAGCCGGUUGUGAAAGCCCCGGGCUCAACCUGGGAACGGCAUCCGGAACUGUCAGGCUAGAGUGCAGGAGAGGAAGGUAGAAUUCCCGGUGUAGCGGUGAAAUGCGUAGAGAUCGGGAGGAAUACCAGUGGCGAAGGCGGCCUUCAGGACUGACACUGACGCUGAGGUGCGAAAGCGUGGGUAGCAAACAGGAUUAGAUACCCCUGUAGUC
rnacentral:rRNA from 1 species